rnacentral:rRNA from 1 species
GAUGAACGCUGGCGGCGUGCCUAAUACAUGCAAGUCGAGCGGUAAGGUCCCUUAGGGGAUACACGAGCGGCGGACGGCUGAGUAACACGUAGGAACGUACCCCAAAGUGAGGGAUAAGCACCAGAAAUGGUGUCUAAUACCGCAUGUGCUCUAAGGAGUAAAGCUUCGGCGCUUUGGGAACGGCCUGCGUCCGAUUAGCUAGUUGGUGAGGUAAUAGCUCACCAAGGCGACGAUCGGUAGCUGGUCUGAGAGGAUGAUCAGCCAGACUGGGACUGAGACACGGCCCAGACUCCUACUGGAGGCAGCAGUAGGGAAUUUUCCACAAUGGGCGAAAGCCUGAUGGAGCAACGCCGCGUGCAGGAUGAAUGCCUUCGGGUUGUAAACUGCUUUUAUAUGUGACGAUUAUGACGGUAACAUAUGAAUAAGGAUCGGCUAACUCCGUGCCAGCCGCCGCCGUAA